UCGCACUAGUCGGGGAGAUAGCGGUGCCCUGUUGCCUGCAAUCCGCUACAGCAGGGAUGAAUUCCCACACCCGGGCUUGUCUGAGUGCCGUCUGCCCUGAGUAAGUGGCGUUGAGAGAUCGGUCUUGCGCAACGGAAUCCCGUGAACCGUGUCAGGUGGGGAACCAAGCAGCACUAAGCGGAUCGUUCCGUGUGCCGCGAGGCAGCCGUUCUUGAGUUAACUGCUCAGGUUCCGGGUGUUCAGCUCGUUCAAAUGUGGGUGUGCGA
rnacentral:SRP_RNA from 1 species